GCCGGCGUACAUCGGACCUAUGAAAUACAUAACGUGCUGUUUUCAGUUUUCACAGCACUGAGUCGAUAUCUCUGCUAGUGGACAAAGGUUUCUAUCAGAUCUGUUGUCAUUUCGACGAUACUGGUAGUGAAAUUUGGCUUAAAUUAUUGUGCUAUUUUUAGAUACUAUUAUUGUGCAAUUUUUAGAUACUUUUUUUAAAUUAAAAUUUCGGUCCUCAUACAUCCAUGGCUUUCAAAAAGUCGACUUUGAGCGUUCCUGAAGGUAAAUCCAGAAAAACGCUUCGGACGCAUGCCAUUGAUGGUGUAUUGGUUUUAUUUUUUUUUACUAAAAUAUUCUUGCAGACAUUAACUUAUGAACGGAGAAAAAGUUGAGGUUUGUUCAUAUAGACUGUAAAGUUCAUCAAUCUGAA
rnacentral:lncRNA from 1 species